rnacentral:tRNA from 1 species
UUUUAGAAAACUAAUUAAUAGUUAACCACUGUUAAUGGUUAUAAGUUUAAAUAACUCUAAAAU